UACGUAGGGCGCAAGCGUUGUCCGGAAUUAUUGGGCGUAAAGCGCUCGCAGGUGGUUCGUCGCGUCGUGCGUGAAAGACCCCGGCUCAACUGGGGAGUGUCGUGCGAUACGGGCGGACUGGAGGCCAGUAGGGGGAUGCGGAAUUCCGGGUGUAGUGGUGGAAUGCGUAGAGAUCCGGAGGAACACCAGCGGCGAAGGCGGCAUCCUGGACUGGUCCUGACACUCAGGAGCGAAAGCGUGGGGAGCGAGUCCGG
rnacentral:rRNA from 1 species